CUGACCUGGGAAACAUGCUGAAGGUAAGAGUUGCUUCCUCAGUCUGAUCUUCUGAGGGAGGAAUUAGCACUCAUUAAAUUUCAUCUUCUCCCUCUACUGCUGCUGCUGCUGCUACUCUUCAUCCCCUCUUGCCAGCCUGGGGAUUGUUGUUUUCUCCAGCCCCUGAGCAGGCUGGACACAGAAGGAGCAUCACUGAGGAGGGCAGGGUUGCUGUGGCUGUCACUGCUGUGCUCUGAGCAGGGGGCUGCACACACACACGCAGGCACAGCUCACACCACGCACACUGCAGCUCACAGCAGCCUUGCUGUGUGGGAGUAGCCUGUCCUGUCCUCAGAGCAGCAGAUGUCCAAGCCAUAUGUCUCCUCCUUAAGAAUCCUCCCAGCCUGGGACAGCCUUACAGGAGGUAAGGGCAAGGGCAGUGAGGAAAUGCAAUAUCGCCUUACAGGAGGAGAAAAUUCCAGUCUGGGAAAGAGAUGCUUAGAGCAGCUGAAUAAGAAACAGAUAUGUAUUCACUUGCCUGAGAUUCAGGUGUUAUUGCCAUUGAAUGCUGAGAAGCAGUCUUGUGAUGUCAUUUUUUAAAAUUAAAUAACAGUUAAACCUGAUCCAUUUUUUAUAAGGAAAUAUGUCUUUUUCACAAAGAUCAUUUCGAACUUAUUGUACGUACAUCAUUAGGGGAUAGCAGCUACAGGAGCCUGGAAAUCCAGGUGCUGAGCUUUGCAGUGCAAUGUGCUGCAAGGGAACAGCCUGGCAAUCCUUUACACAGCAAGUUCACCCAGUGAUUAUAUGGAAGUAGCUUCACCAGAUGAAGCCUCAUUAUGGCAGAUGCUGUGCAUGCACAGGGAGAGAACCCCUGCCCAGAUGGGUUAUGGUCUCUCUAACGUAGACACUUCAGAGCUUGAAGGCAUAAUGAAAGGGGAUGUCUUGUCAAGGAUCUCAAGGGAGUUUUGUGGCAGAAGUGCAAACACAAUAAAUUCAGAUCUGCUGAGCUAAAGCCUGUGUCCUGACUUCAAAAGCCCCUGCCUUUCACUGAGCAAUUUCAUACUACUUUUUUCUUGUCUCUUCUCUCCAGAUGUUUACUGGAAACUACUGUGGCAUGGUGGUUAGAGAUUCAGAUCCACAAAGGAAAUAAAAGAAACAAGAGAAACCUCCUUUGGGCUACUCUGGAUAGAACUCAGGAGGUUUAUGUAUGGAAAAUAGCUGUUUGCCAGGGAUUUGGGGGUUGAAGGGAGACCUGUGAAGUGUCGUCACUAGGGCCAGGAUAAAUGGAACAAACCCCAGCACAUCCUGAACAGAUACAUCAUUUUCAACAGAGUUGUCAAUUAGCACAGAGCAAGUCAGAUGUCACUGGAGAAAAAUCUCUGCUCUUCAGGGAAGGGAGGAAUCUCUCCGUGACUCAAGAGCAGAUGGUUUGGCAGCAGCAGCACAGCCAACUCCUAGCCCUGGAUUAACAAAUUACAGAGAUAUGCUUUGUAUUUACAGCACAUGACUGGAAAGAGGGCUCAGGAAAAAAGGAUAAUGUGAGAAGAACUCACAUGUAAUGUCAGCUGAGUGGCCAGAAGGGAUUCUCAGCAAAGCCAGCAGCCUGCAGCAGGAUGCUGCCUGUCUCCCUCUAGCAGAUAUACACUUCUGUUCGGUGUAGGAUCCGACCUUCUCACUCGAGAUAAAACACAGCAUUAUAAAAUGCUGAUAUUUCCCCCUCUCUAGUUCUCACUGCUUGAAUUAAUGCUGAGCCUGUGUCUUUAAGCCCCGCUUGUUUCUUCUGUGGUUGCCAUAGCAUUUAAUGUUUCCAUGUUUGAGAUUUCCUUUUUUUUUCCUUCCAGACAUUACUCCAUCAGCACAAUUCCAGACCUGGGAUUCCAGCCACUUUUGGCUAAAGGGAAACUCAUUUUUGUUGCUAUAAAAAUAUCAAGCCAUGUAAAUGCCUGUGGCUCAGAUUUAGGUCCUGUGUCUAGGAAUAGCAGCACAGCUGAGGGUGAAUAAGAGAGGUUUGCCAGGAUCCACAGUGAAGCCAUUGAGCCAUCAACCAGAUGCACAAGUAACUAGUCCAGAUCCAGAUGAUGUCAUCUUUUUGCCAAUUGCAUUCCUGUGUCAGCUGCAUCCAGUCAACUGCAUCCAAGAAUACAGAAUGUCAAAGGCUCUGUGCUCCAAGAAACAUCUCAGCUGGCACUUGACUCCCCUUGGCUUCUGGACGCUGAGUACAUGUGCACAGAAGGCUUUUGCCAUUUCAUCUCAAAUCUGACAUCCCAAUUUGUACAGCUCUCGUCAUGAGGACUGAUUUUGAUUGUGUGGUUUUGACUUCCCCACUGACAGUGACAGCCACAAACACAAAUGUCCAGCCCACAGCUGGACAAACACAUCAGGUGAUGGGAUGGGUGAGCAGCUAGCUCACAGGAUGGGCACAAAGGGUUAUAGAGAAUGAGGGGACAUCAGAUGAUGAUCUGUCACCAGUGGGGUUCCACAGGGCUCCAUCCUUGGCCCUGUGUGCUCCUCAAUAUCUUCAUGAAUUACUUGGAUGCAAGACUUCCUCAUUCAAGGUGGGGAAAAAGUUCUCAUAGAGACAAGUUUUGAAAGAGCUGGGCUGUUUACUGCUAUGUUGGUAUUCAGACCAUCAAGCCCUACUAAAAACAACAAAUCAUGGAAUAACUUGUGUUUAAAUAGAGAUUCCUGGUGAUCCACUGUCAGCAUCUAAACAAUUUUUGACAUUUCAGAGCAUUUGACCAUGAGCAGAUUCAACCUUGAUGUUUGAAGAUAAUAAAGCAAAUAAGAUGGGUGUUGCA